GGAAUAUUGGGCAAUGGGGGGAACCCUGACCCAGCCAUGCCGCGUGAGGGAAGUAGGCCCUACGGGUCGUGAACCUCUUUUGUCGGGGGACAAGGACGCCGUCGCGAACGGUGUUUGCGGGUACCCGGCGAAUAAGCAUCGGCUAACUCCGUGCCAGCAGCCGCGGUAAUACGGAGGAUGCGAGCGUUAUCCGGAUUCAUUGGGUUUAAAGGGUGCGCAGGCGGCCCGGUAAGUCAGCGGUGAAAGUCAGGGGCCCAACCCCGGAAGUGCCGUUGAUACUGUCGGGCUGGAAUGCGGUCGAGGCGGGCGGAAUGUGGUGUGUAGCGGUGAAAUGCAUAGAUAUGCCACAGAACGCCGAUAGCGAAGGCAGCUCGCCAGGCCUGCAUUGACGCUCGGGCACGAAAGCGUGGGGAUCAAACA
rnacentral:rRNA from 1 species